UGCCAGCCGCCGCGGUAAUACGGAGGGGGCUAGCGUUGUUCGGAAUUACUGGGCGUAAAGCGCACGUAGGCGGACUAUUAAGUCAGGGGUGAAAUCCCGGGGCUCAACCCCGGAACUGCCUUCAAUACUGUCAGUCUUGAGUUCGGGAGAGGUGAGUGGAAUUCCUAGUGUAGAGGUGAAAUUCGUAGAUAUUAGGAAGAACACCAGUGGCGAAGGCGGCUCACUGGCCCGAUACUGACGCUGAGGUGCGAAAGCGUGGGGAGCAAACAGGAUUAGAUA
rnacentral:rRNA from 1 species